UGGCCCGGUGGCUCAGUUGGUUAGAGCGCCGCCCUGUCACGGCGGAGGCCGAGGGUUCGAGUCCCUUCCGGGUCGU
rnacentral:tRNA from 1 species